GGCGAAGGGCCGGGGUCCCAGCAGCCUGGGGGGGCUGCCCCGGGAGGGGCUGGGCCUCCACCAUUGGGAGGGCUAGGGGCACGUGAGGGGCUCCUGGGCAGGCCGUGGUGGUGCCAGGAAGUGCCAGGCCGGGCAGGGGACCCGGGCCCCCGAGGCGCCGCCCAGCCCGGGGCAGCUGCUUCCUGGCACAGAGGCAGUUAAACCGCGCGCAGCUGCCGAGCCAGCGCCGCUGCCCCCCUGCCCUGGGGGGAGGGGACACGGCCCGCUCCCCUCUGUCCUCGCCGUGCCCGCCCUACGGUUUCCGUCCACGUGCGGGGUCACCGCCCGGCUCUGGCCAACGCCGGCUCUGGCAGAGCCCCCCACGUGGGUACCAGCUGCCAUUUAUUGAGCAUCGUUUUUACCUCGAUGGAGCUGUUUGUAAAAGAGAAAGAAAAGGAAGAGGAGAGAAAGAAGCAAGGUGAGGCAGGCUCCUGGGUUUUGGCCUAAGCAGCUGGGUGGGGGGCACCCCUGAGGGACCCCAGCCGCAGAGGGGUGUCCGGCCCCACCCGGGGAGGUGGGGUGUGAGCAAGCCCUGUCCAUUCCGUGACUUCUGGUUCCGAGGGGAGCGAGGGGCAGUCACCACGUGUCGCCCCGCCCCGCCCCGCUAGAGCGCUCCACGAGGGCAGACGGGCAGGGGGUGCCCGGGGAAGGUUCCAGGGCCGGGAAGUGGCCGAGUGGGCAGGAGGCGGCCAUCGACGCCCCAGCCCCGUGGCCCAUCGUGGGAAGGCUCCUCGGAAGAGAAAGCGGGGGCACACGGCAGCCCCUCGGGCUGCAGUGGCAGUGACCCAGCUCCCCUUGCAGGGGCCCGGGAGGCCCUGAGUGCCCGGGACGUGGACCAGGCCAGUGCCACGGCCACGCCACCCCUGUGGGAGGGGGACAGAGAGCCCACCCAGCGGCCGAGGGCGGUCGUGGGGUGCCUGGGGGCCGGGCUUGGCGCGAGCCCUCGUCGGCGUCCCUCCGUUCUUGAUCUCUGCGCCCCGUGAGUGUUUUGUCCACUGAGGAAAAGGAAAGUAAACGAAAAAAAUCGUGACAUGCCCCCACCUUUCACCCGUGGAAGUGGGCGCCUCCCGGGGCGGGGCGGGGCGGAUUGGAAGGCCCUUCUUUUUUUUCCUUUAAACAGUUUAUAAAGACCCUUUUUAAUUUUUAAAAAGUUUAAUUAGAGAAAUUGUAGGUUACAAAAACAGCAUGUAAAACAGUGUUCCCAUAUUGUCGGCCGUUACACUUACUUAGCUUUAGUGUGCUACCCUGUUACAAUGACGACAGGAUAUUGUCAUUGUGGUAUUAACUACAGUCCAUGGUUCACGUUAGGGUGUAUCCCCCCCAAUAUGCCACCCUAUUAUUUUUUAGCAGUUUUACUGAGGUAUUUUCACAUACUAUACAAUCUAUCCAAAGUGUACAAUCCAUGGCUUUUAGUAUAAUUGCAG
rnacentral:lncRNA from 1 species